UUGGUUUUUAAGGUAAAUAAGAAAAUGGUAUUUACAUACAAAAUAAGUUCAUGACUUUUGGCUGUCUAGGGCAAACAUAUCGCACCAUUCCCAAGUACUAGGCACUAAUGCAAAUAAUCAAAGCACGAAUUUGUGUUUAUUUACAUAUAUAAUUACAAGGUAACUAUGUAAAAACUCCACGGAGACUGUUGUUUCAAUUAUGCUUUUUCGGAGAGAUGGUGGACAUCAUUAAUUCCAGCCUGACUAAGUUUUGGGACUCACAAACAAAUAACCGGCAACUAAUUGAAAUCAGCUUGAAAAUAAAUUGUUUGUAAGAUUUAGUUGCAAGAUGAGUUUUAUUGGUAGUUACAAUAAGAUAAUUUUUUAGAAAUAUUUUACUACUUUUGUAUACUUAAAAAUUUAUUGAACAUAUUUUUGUUUAAUUUGAUGCCUUAAUGUAAUUAAAGUCUACCGCUACUGUAAUCAAUUAUGCAACGGUGAAAUAAUUAUUCAAAAUUAGCCAAGUCCUAUUAAUAAAAGUUUUUAGAAUUUAUUUGUGUCUAUAUAAUAAGUUUCGUCUGUUUUAAU